AGGCCGAAAGGCGUAGUCGAUGGGAAACAGGUUAAUAUUCCUGUACUUGGUGUUACUGCGAAGGGGGGACGGAGAAGGCUAUGUUGGCCGGGCGACGGUUGUCCCGGUUUAAGCGUGUAGGCUGGUUUUCCAGGCAAAUCCGGAAAAUCAAGGCUGAGGCGUGAUGACGAGGCACUACGGUGCUGAAGCAACAAAUGCCCUGCUUCCAGGAAAAGCCUCUAAGCAUCAGGUAACAUCAAAUCGUACCCCAAACCGACACAGGUGGUCAGGUAGAGAAUACCAAGGCGCUUGAGAGAACUCGGGUGAAGGAACUAGGCAAAAUGGUGCCGUAACUUCGGGAGAAGGCACGCUGAUAUGUAGGUGAAGUCCCUUGCGGAUGGAGCUGAAAUCAGUCGAAGAUACCAGCUGGCUGCAACUGUUUAUUAAAAACACAGCACUGUGCAAACACGAAAGUGGACGUAUACGGUGUGACGCCUGCCCGGUGCCGGAAGGUUAAUUGAUGGGGUCAGCGCAAGCGAAGCUCUUGAUCGAAGCCCCGGUAAACGGCGGCCGUAACUAUAACGGUCCUAAGGUAGCGAAAUUCCUUGUCGGGUAAGUUCCGACCUGCACGAAUGGCGUAAUGAUGGCCAGGCUGUCUCCACCCGAGACUCAGUGAAAUUGAACUCGCUGUGAAGAUGCAGUGUACCCGCGGCAAGACGGAAAGACCCCGUGAACCUUUACUAUAGCUUGACACUGAACAUUGAGCCUUGAUGUGUAGGAUAGGUGGGAGGCUUUGAAGUGUGGACGCCAGUCUGCAUGGAGCCGGCCUUGAAAUACCACCCUUUAAUGUUUGAUGUUCUAACGUGGACCCGUGAUCCGGGUUGCGGACAGUGUCUGGUGGGUAGUUUGACUGGGGCGGUCUCCUCCUAAAGAGUAACGGAGGAGCACGAAGGUUGGCUAAUCCUGGUCGGACAUCAGGAGGUUAGUGCAAUGGCAUAAGCCAGCUUGACUGCGAGCGUGACGGCGCGAGCAGGUGCGAAAGCAGGUCAUAGUGAUCCGGUGGUUCUGAAUGGAAGGGCCAUCGCUCAACGGAUAAAAGGUACUCCGGGGAUAACAGGCUGAUACCGCCCAAGAGUUCAUAUCGACGGCGGUGUUUGGCACCUCGAUGUCGGCUCAUCACAUCCUGGGGCUGAAGUAGGUCCCAAGGGUAUGGCUGUUCGCCAUUUAAAGUGGUACGCGAGCUGGGUUUAGAACGUCGUGAGACAGUUCGGUCCCUAUCUGCCGUGGGCGCUGGAGAACUGAGGGGGGCUGCUCCUAGUACGAGAGGACCGGAGUGGACGCAUCACUGGUGUUCGGGUUGUCAUGCCAAUGGCACUGCCCGGUAGCUAAAUGCGGAAGAGAUAAGUGCUGAAAGCAUCUAAGCACGAAACUUGCCCCGAGAUGAGUUCUCCCUGACCCUUUAAGGGUCCUGAAGGAACGUUGAAGACGACGACGUUGAUAGGCCGGGUGUGUAAGCGCAGCGAUGCGUUGAGCUAACCGGUACUAAUGAACCGUGAGGCUUAACCUU
rnacentral:rRNA from 1 species